rnacentral:rRNA from 1 species
UACGUAGGGUGCGAGCGUUAAUCGGAAUUACUGGGCGUAAAGCGCGUGUAGGCGGCUUGGUAAGUUGGGUGUGAAAUCCCAGGGCUCAACCCUGGAAGUGCAUUCAAAACUGCUCGGCUAGAGUUUUGGAGAGGAAGGUGGAAUGCUUGGUGUAGAGGUGAAAUUCGUAGAUAUCAAGCGGAACACCGGUGGCGAAGGCGGCCUUCUGGACAGAAACUGACGCUGAGACGCGAAAGCGUGGGGAGCAAACAGG